CGAACGAGAACUUGACAGACUGAUUCUUCGGAUGAAGUCCCUUGAGGGAAAGUGGCGGACGGGCGAGUAACACGUGAGCACCCUCCCCUUUACGGUGGAAUAACAAUCGGAAACUAUUGCUAAUGCCGCAUAACAUAUACCUUAGGCAUCUUCAGUAUAUCAAAUAUUUAUCGGUAAUGGAUGGGCUCGCGUCUGAUUAAGAAGUUGGUGAGGUAACGGCUCACCACUCCGACGAUCAGUAGCCGGACUGAGAGGUUGAUCGGCCGCAUUGGGACUGAGACACGGCCCAGACUCCUACGGGAGGCAGCAGUGGGGAAUAUUGGACAAUGGGCGCAAGCCUGAUCCAGCAACGUCGCGCGAAGGAAGAAGGUCUUCGGAUUGUAAACUUCUCUAGACAGGGAUGAAAGAAAUGACAGUACCUGUAGAAUAAGCCACGGCUAACUACGUGCCAGCAGCCGCGGUAAUACGUAGGUGGCGAGCGUUAUCCGUAAUUACUGGGUGUAAAGGGCGUGUAGGCGGUAUACUAAGUCAGAUGUGAAAUCUCCCGGCUCAACCGGGAGCGUGCAUCUGAAACUGGUAAACUUGAGUGAUAGAGGGGAAAGUGGAAUUCCUAGUGUAGCGGUAAAAUGCGUAGAUAUUAGGAGGAACACCAGUGGCGAAGGCGACUUUCUGGCUAUUAACUGACGCUGAGACGCGAAAGCGUGGGGAGCCCUCUAAAGUGGAUACCCUGGUAGUCCACACACAAAACGAUGAAUGCUAGGUGUAGGAGGUAUCGACCCCUUUUGUGCCGAAGUUAACACAUUAAGCAUUCCACCUGGGGAGUACGGCCGCAAGGCUGAAACUCAAAGGAAUUGACGGGGACCCGCACAAGCAGUGGAGUAUGUGGUUUAAUUCGAGGCUACGCGAUGAACCUUACCAAGGCUUGACAUCCUCUGACAGCUCUAGAGAUAGAGCCUCCCUACGGGGCAGAGUGACAGGUGGUGCAUGGCUGUCGUCAGCUCGUGUCGUGAGAUGUUCGGUUAAGUCCGGUAACGAGCACAACCCCUACGGUAAUUUGCCAGCAUUAAGUUGGGAAAUAUUACAGGAUCUGCCGUUGACAAAACGGAGGAAGGUGGGGACGACGUCAAGUCAUCAUGCCCCUUAUGUCUUGGGCUACACACGUACUACAAUGGUAACUACAAUGGGCAGCCACACGGCGACGUGGAGCGAAUCUCAAAAGGUUAUCUCAGUUCGGAUUGCAGGCUGAAACUCGCCUGCAUGAAGCCGGAAUUGCUAGUAAUGGCAGGUCAGCAUACUGCCGUGAAUACGUUCCC
rnacentral:rRNA from 1 species